rnacentral:rRNA from 1 species
GAUGAACGCUGGCGGCGUGCCUAAUACAUGCAAGUCGAGCGAACGGACGAGAAGCUUGCUUCUCUGAUGUUAGCGGCGGACGGGUGAGUAACACGUGGAUAACCUACCUAUAAGACUGGGAUAACCUCGGGAAACCGGAGCUAAUACCGGAUGAUAUUUUGAACCGCAUGGUUCAAAAGUGAAAGACGGUCUUGCUGUCACUUAUAGAUGGAUCCGCGCUGCAUUAGCUAGUUGGUAAGGUAACGGCUUACCAAGGCAACGAUGCAUAGCCGACCUGAGAGGGUGAUCGGCCACACUGGAACUGAGACACGGUCCAGACUCCUACGGGAGGCAGCGGUAGGGAAUCUUCCGCAAUGGGCGAAAGCCUGACGGAGCAACGCCGCGUGAGUGAUGAAGGUCUUCGGAUCGUAAAACUCUGUUAUUAGGGAAGAACAUAUGUGUAAGUAACUGUGCACAUCUUGACGGUACCUAAUCAGAAAGCCACGGCUAACUACGUG